rnacentral:rRNA from 1 species
GAUGAACGCUGGCGGCGUGCCUAAUACAUGCAAGUCGAGCGAAUGGAUUAAGAGCUUGCUCUUAUGAAGUUAGCGGCGGACGGGUGAGUAACACGUGGGUAACCUGCCCAUAAGACUGGGAUAACUCCGGGAAACCGGGGCUAAUACCGGAUAACAUUUUGAACCGCAUGGUUCGAAAUUGAAAGGCGGCUUCGGCUGUCACUUAUGGAUGGACCCGCGUCGCAUUAGCUAGUUGGUGAGGUAACGGCUCACCAAGGCAACGAUGCGUAGCCGACCUGAGAGGGUGAGCGGCCACAAUGGGACUGAGACACGGCCCAGACUCCUACGGGAGGGAGCAGUAGGGAAUCUUCCGCAAUGGACGAAAGUCUGACGGAGCAACGCCGCGUGAGUGAUGAAGGCUUUCGGGUCGUAAAACUCUGUUGUUAGGGAAGAACAAGUGCUAGUUGAAUAAGCUGGCACCUUGACGGUACCUAACCAGAAAGCCACGGCUAACUACGUGCCAGCCGCCGCAGUAA